GCCGCGGUAGCUCAGUGGUAGAGCGCACCCUUGGUAAGGGUGAGGUCGGGAGUUCAAUCCUCCCCCGCGGCACCA
rnacentral:tRNA from 1 species